AUUGAACGCUAGCGGGAUGCUUUACACAUGCAAGUCGAACGAGUGGCGGACGGGUGAGUAAUAUAUCGGAACGUGCCCAUUAGCGGGGGAUAACUUCUCGAAAGAGUGGCUAAUACCCCAUACCAUCGGAGCGGCCGAUAUCGGAUUAGCUAGUGGGUGGGGUAAAGGCUAACCAAGGCAACGAUCCCUAGCUGGUUUGAGCGGACGAUCAGCCACACUGGGACUGAGACACGGCCCAGACUCCUACGGGAGGCAGCAGUGGGGAAUUUUGGACAAUGGGGGAAACCCUGAUCCAGCCAUCCCGCGUGUAUGAGAAGGCCUUCGGGUUGUAAAGUACUUUUGGCAGAGAAGCGGUAUCUGCAGAAUAAGCACCGGCUAACUACGUGCCAGCAGCCGCGGUAAUUC
rnacentral:rRNA from 1 species